rnacentral:rRNA from 1 species
UACGGAGGGUGCAAGCGUUGUUCGGAAUUACUGGGCGUAAAGGGCGCGUAGGCGGUCUGUUAAGUUCGGUGUGAAAGCCCCCGGCUCACCUGGGGAACUGCGCCGGAAACCGACAGACUCGAGUACCGGAGAGGAGGGUGGAAUUCCUGGUGUAGCGGUGAAAUGCGCAGAUAUCAGGAGGAACACCGAUUGCGAAGGCAGCUCGCUGGGACGUCACUGACGCUGAGACGCGAAAGCGUGGGGAGCAAACAGG